rnacentral:lncRNA from 1 species
UAUGAAAAAGCCUAAUAAACAACCAGUGCCACCUCACGGCAAAUUGCUAUGUUAUUAGUCUUUGGAGGAUAUAGGAACUAUCGACAGAAAUAGUACUUUCAAAGUAACCGACAACUUAACUUCUCGCAUACAACACAAUCAUGAGCAAAACCCACCUCACCGACUCAUGGUAGCUCAGCAACAUGCAUAAAUGAAGAUGAAAAUGUCAGGCCAAAAGAUACCACGACCACAAAAGUCUUUUCAAAACAAGGCGAUACAACAGACCACAAAAGUCUUUUCAAAACAAGGCGAUACAACAGACCCAACUAUGGUCCCACGCUAUCAAGCAACUACAAGCUAC